GGCUGCCGAUCCACGUCCCGCCCUCGCGCGCGGGCGGGAGCGUGGUGGCCAGGUAGUAGAAGCCGCAGGCGGCGGUGUGGGUGCAGUAGAGCUCCACGGUGAUGAGCUUCACGAUCCUCGUCAGGAGGUAGCUCACCCGGAUGUCCUUCUCCACCCGCUUGAAGAACGCCAUCACCUUCCUCCCCCUGUACAGCCUCACCCACACCAGCCACCUCACCGCCUCCACCCUGCCCGUCACCUGUUCGACCAAAUGCCCCAACGCCAUGGAAGCUCAGAGACCGGCCUCAUUCUCUCAAAGAUCUCUGUUCUUGCGAUGGCAAUGCUGCGUGCCUACCUUGUAGAUGGCGUCCCAGGGGAAGCAGCCGAGCACGUCGAGAGCAAAGCUGCCUUUGAUGUAGCUGACAAGAACACAAACCCCGGUCGGUGUCAGUGAUUACUUCUUGGUCAGUUCUUUGAUCAGGUGUGUGAUUGCUCUCACCGGAGGGCGAUGUGGCGCUUGUCGUGGACCAUCCUGUAGGUGUGGGGGUCGCGGUAGGCGAGGAAGAAGUGGACGGCGACGUCGGCGAGGAAGACGAGCUGGACGCACUCGAGGUCGAGCAGCUGAUCGGGGAGUCCGCGGAAGAAGCUGAACUCGAACGGGGUGAAGAAGGUGGAGUAGAUGGACCACAGGAACAUCAUGUUCGCCCAGAUCCUGUACCAUCUGCAGUAAUCACCAGUAAACCAAACUGAUCAACGAAACAAACAUUGCAUCCAAAUUUAUUAAGUUCCAGCAUCCUGUCUCAAUC
rnacentral:sRNA from 1 species